UAUAAUCGUAUGCUCAAUCUAAUGAGCAUAAGUUGUUUGGGGCAUUACUGGUUACCUAGAACUUUUUGUCACAUCAGAUCUCCUUCCAUGAUGUCAUGUAAGACAAACUGCACCAUGAGAAAAGGCAUAUAAUAAAUUACAAUAUUCUGGACAACAUAUUAACAAUUAUCUUACUUACACUAUCUGGCACCCAAAGACUGUUAUUUUGUAAAGCAUAUGUUUUAGAAUUAUUCCAACUAAAAAGAACUCUUGCCAAGCUCUCCAUUAACCUCUACUGGAUAACCAUAAUUAUCUGUCCUCCAGACUAAAUACAUACACCAGACUGACUAUAAGGUAAUGUGUAAUUGACCACCUUGAUUGCUGUACUCUGUAAAUAAGAGAACUCUCUAUUUUUACUGUAUCUAUAUAGUAUAGUAGUUCUUAUGACCACUAGUACUCUUGAGGUAGAACAGGUGUUUCCAUUGUGUAUUCAGCAUUUUACCUCAUGUAAAACACAUUUUUAAGUUAACACAUGUAUACAUCACAGAAGGAGCUUGACAUUCCUAGUUGGUUAAUAAUAACCAAUCAUUCUUCAUCGGGUUGUCCAGCAUUUCGAUUGGGUGGAACGUGAAUCAUUAAGCAGUUCAGUGAGGAUUCCUGACCUGUUAAAAUGGUAAUAAAUCCAAAGGAUUUUCAGACCGGACAGGGACCAACAUUUUUUAAAAAAUAGGGCGUGCACCCUGCACAUAGGCUGCUAAUUGGACAGCCCAGGUCAAACAUAUGAUUGUCCAUUAUUGGUAUGUCAGCUAAGUUUUAUUGCAGUUCAGCACUGUGAGUUGAGGACUGAAAUGCACAUUCCAUUUUAUCCUCUUAAUUUUGUCUUUCUAAAAUAAUUAGUUUAAUAAUUAAAUAAUGCUUAACCCAACCCCUAGUAUUGUUUUGUGAUAGUGUGAUGUAUUUUGUUACUUGGCGUUUUUAACGAGGACUGUAGACCCAGACUCUAAAGCAAAAUAAUAGAUCUGAAUGCUAGGUUAUGUUAUGUUUCGGUAAUAUCCCUCAAGUGACCAGUACAGUAAAAUAAUAAGAGUGAGCUUCAUCAAGGUUUAAACAGGUGCAAUUCUUGUGCAAAGUAUCACAAGGAGAGCAGCUGUUUAAUGUGAGAGGAUUUGUAACAGUGGGGGAGAUGUAUAAAUGAUACCAUCAUUUCAAGGAUGAAGCACCCAUUUGGUCACAUUUGCAUAUUUACACUAUAGAGAGAGAGGCAUGUGAUUGGAUUUUAUAUAGGAAAACAUGAGCACAAUUGCAACAUUUUUACUGUAUCAAUAAUGCCAGAUAGAUGACACAGUAUUCUAGUGUUAAACAGUCAAUUAAAAGUGCCACCCAUUUAUAUCAGUUAGUCUAGUGAGCGUAAUAAAUGUCUUAUCACGCCAGUUUGCUGCUCUUUCUCUAUUAAGUGGAGGAACAUUUUUAGAAGAGGAGAAAUGGUGUCUGGCUGACAGUAACCAAAGGAAGAAAGCAUGCUAAAAUAUAACUUUUAUUUUCACUAAAAUCCCAUUUCAUAAAUAACUGUCAAAUACAGUGUUACCAAUGGAAGACCUAUAUGUAAAAAUAAAGAUACUUCAGUAGACAAAGUGCAUACAGUACAUUCAAGUAUUCCAGAAGAGUAAGUGAUACAGUGACAGAGUGCAGAAGUUUAACCCCUUACGGACCAAACUUCUGGAAUAAAUGGAAAUCAUGACAUGUCACACAUGUCAUGUGUCCUUAAGGGUUUAAAAGCGAUCACUCAAACUAAUCAGUCGUCCUUAUAACUGGAUUUCAGUGUAUCUAUCAAUUCUCCUGUUUAACUGUAUUCUUAACACCCAACACUAGGGGGUUCUUAAUAUCAAUAACAAGCAAAUUAAGUUUAAAUUCUUCUUUUGUAUAAUUAAAUGCAUGCACGUUUUCAAGGUAUCUUUAUAUAUUUAGGACUAAUAGUAAUUUAUGAAAUGGGAUUUUAGUGACCUAACACACGUUAUGUAUUAACAUGUUGUCUUUGCUUUUACUGUCAUUCGGCCGCUACAAUCAUUUUCUCGUCGUCUGCAAGAACCGAGGGCUGAACAACUUCUUUGUUAUGUUAGAGGAAAUGUUUUGAUUUACACCCAUAGUGCCCUGCUGAUAUUCCUAAACAAUAACAUAUUAUUUACUUGCUGAUGAGUUUUUUUUUCUAUCAGUAAUUAUUUCACAGAUAUCUGCAGACAUAAAUUGUUUCAUUGUGAAAAGAAGUGCAUUUAACACACACUUUUAUACAUCAGCCCCAUUGUAUGCAAAACAGUCUAAUUUGCUUUAUUACAUUCAUACACCAGAAGAUUGCACCUGCACACAUUAUACAAUGUCUGGUCCUUUGACCCUUGCCCAUCGGUGAUGUUUCAUCAAGCACAUCAGCUAAAAUCCCUGAUUUAAAGUAACCACAAACGGGCAAGUCCUGAUUUACAGUCAAUAUUGUUUUUGUUCUUUUUUAAUAGCAAAACUGAUGUCCUGAACUUAACUUCAGUCUGUUAUUUACAAACGCCACAUCAACAUCUUGCCAAAUCGCACCAAUGGAUUACUUGGUCACAUGAUCUAAAUGCAUCAAAUUGCUAGAAAACAUUAAUAUUGUAACAUUAAAAUCACACCAAUGCUGCUCAUGUAGAAGACCAUACCUCCCCUUUAAUGGGGGAUGCUUGUCCUAGGUACCUUCUGCAGACUGUGGAACUGCACAAUGCAUGUUCCAUAUUCACCCCAAGAAGUAGGUACGGUAUGAUCACCUACAUUUUUUACAUGAUUUAAAUUGUAACAUCCAUGUUAUUUAGGGUUUGCA